GAUGAACGCUGGCGGCGUGCUUAACACAUGCAAGUCGAACGGAAAGGCCGAAGCUUGCUUCGGUACUCGAGUGGCGAACGGGUGAGUAACACGUGGGUGAUCUGCCCUGUACUUUGGGAUAAGCUUGGGAAACUGGGUCUAAUACCGGAUAUGACGAUCUCUUGGAUGGGGUUGUGGACAGCUUUUGCGGUAUGGGAUGUGCUCGCGCCCUAUCAGCUUGUUGGUGGGGUAUUGGCCUACCACGGCGUCGACGGGUAGCCGGCGUGAGAGGGUGUACGGCCACACUGGGACUGAGAGACGGCCCAGACUCCGACAGGAGGGAGCAGUGGGGAAUAUUGCACAAUGGGCGCAAGCGUGAUGCAGCGACGCCGCGUGGGGGAUGACGGCCUUCGGGUUGUAAACACCGUUCGCGAUCGACGAAGCCUGUUGGUGACGGUAGGUUGAGAAGAAGCACCGGCUAACUACGUG
rnacentral:rRNA from 1 species